UAGAAAAACCUGAUAACAAGUGCAAUUGCCGCUGCUUUGGCUGUUGGCUUUUCUGCUGCUUUGGCGCUGCCUUCCGCUUGGCCGCUAUAAAAGCAGCUGCUGCCGUUAAUUCCACAUCAGACUUAAGGCGAAUCAAUCGCAGCACAGACUUACCUUAUAUACGCAUCUAAGAUAUAUAGACUAUAUACAAUCAACAUGCAAUUGAUCAAGAUUUGCGGCUUUGUCUUUGCUCUGAUUGUGGCUAUGGCCAGCGCUGAGCCGGAACCUCAGGGCACGCUGCUUAUCCAAACAAAUAGGGGUCAGGGCAUUUUCAGGGGCUAAAACUUAACUUUUUGAGUCAAAAUUAAACAUCGAUGUAAACAUAAAUAAAAUUCUUAAAAAAUUAUAAAACU